CGGCGACGGGUGAGUAAUGUCUGGGAAACUGCCCGAUGGAGGGGGAUAACUACUGGAAACGGUAGCUAAUACCGCAUAACGUCGCAAGACCAAAGAGGGGGACCUUCGGGCCUCUUGCCAUCGGAUGUGCCCAGAUGGGAUUAGCUAGUAGGUGGGGUAACGGCUCACCUAGGCGACGAUCCCUAGCUGGUCUGAGAGGAUGACCAGCCACACUGGAACUGAGACACGGUCCAG
rnacentral:rRNA from 1 species